GUGGAGGGCCGUCCAUCGGUGGGACCUUCCUCAGUAACAGCCUAGAAGUGGACUCAUCCUGGUUCUGGACGAGGCUGUACUGCUCCAGUGGACCUGAGACAGAAAAACCGACAAAUUAUAAAACCUGAAGCCUGCAGAAAAGAUUUUUCCAGGGGAAGGUUUCACAUCUUUGAAAUAAAUUAAUGAAUAUAAUUCAGUUAAAGAAAAUUAAAAUUAAAAAAGACAAAUUCAUAAACAUAUUUCUGUAAUUAAAACCAUUCAGACUAUAAAAGUUUUGUAUGUUGUUUUGAAGGCAUGCUAAUGGCCUAUCUAUGUUGUCAGUGUAGUUUCCUACUUACACAGCGAGGCUUGGAACGGGACAUGGGUGUUGCCGCGACCCUCUUCAAGAUCGGCCUGGGACAGGACCAGUGGAAGCUGUGCACAAGGACCGAGGUCUGUGUGAAGCGUCGGCUGGUCUGAAGACAGAAACAACGCAGACAUUUAAAUUAACCAAGCUGUAAUAUUUGACUGUGUGGUCAAGGUCAUGAAGGAAGCAUCUGUAACAUCAGUAUCAUCAAG